CCAACGGCCCUCUUUAGGGCCACAUUCGCUAACGAGUGCUUUGCGG
rfam:Oesophagostomum dentatum strain OD-Hann O_dentatum-1.0_Cont29411.2, whole genome shotgun sequence.